AAUCACAGCCAACUGGUGGCUCA
rnacentral:miRNA from 2 species